rnacentral:rRNA from 1 species
UUCCCGGGCCUUGUACACACCGCCCGUCACACCACGAAAGUUGGCAAUACCCGAAGCCGGUGGCCUAACCCGCAAGGGAGGGAGCCGUCGAGGGUAGGGUUGAUGAUUGGGGUG